UACGGGGGGGGCAAGCGUUGUUCGGAAUUACUGGGCGUAAAGGGCUGGUAGGCGGCCAACUAAGUCGGAUGUGAAAUCCCCAGGCUUAACCGGGGAACGGCGUCCGAUACUGGAUGGCUUGAGUUUGGGAGAGGGAUGCGGAAUUCCAGGUGUAGCGGUGAAAUGCGUAGAUAUCUGGAGGAACACCGGUGGCGAAGGCGGCAUCCUGGACAAUUGCUGACGCUCAGGCACGAAAGCGUGGGGAGCAAAAGGG
rnacentral:rRNA from 1 species